AUACGUAGGGAGCGAGCGUUGUCCGGAAUUACUGGGUGUAAAGGGUGCGUAGGCGGGACUGCAAGUCAGAUGUGAAAUGCCGGGGCUCAACCCCGGAGCUGCAUUUGAAACUGUGGGUCUUGAGUGAGGUAGAGGUAAGCGGAAUUCCUAGUGUAGCGGUGAAAUGCGUAGAUAUUAGGAGGAACAUCGGUGGCGAAGGCGGCUUACUGGGCCUUUACUGACGCUGAGGCACGAAAGCGUGGGGAGCAAACAGGAUUAGAUACCCUGGUAGUCCACGCUGUAAACGAUGAUGACUAGGUGUGGGGGGACUGAACCCUUCCGUGCCGCAGUUAACACAAUAAGCAUUCCGCCUGGGGAGUACGGCCGCAAGGUUGAAACUCAAAUGAAUUGGCGGGG
rnacentral:rRNA from 1 species